UGUCAAUGUGCUUUAUUGCAAUUCUUUAUUGCAUUUUGAUCUAGAGCAAGUAGGCCCAGGAUGCUUAGUGUCUGGGAUUUAAAAGCCCAACCAUCUAUUAAAAGAAAGUACAGCAAAAUCGUAACACAUCUGGUGACAAGUACAGUGUUGCAUUACUGAUCUAGAAACUACAGUAUGACUUGUCCGAAAACACUAACAUACAAUUGGUUUCCUUAUGAAGCAGUUUUGUUUCUUUUUUAAAAGUUAAACUACAUGAAUUCCUUUUUUUUUUUUUUCUUUUUUCUUUUUUCUUUUUGACUACACCAUAAACGACAGCAGAACAGGUUUUACACAAAGAACAAACGAGAGUACCAAAGUUACAUGCUGGAAUCCAUACGGAAAGAAAAUAAGCGGACAGCUCGUUGGGAAGCAGGUUCCGAACAGAGGCGGUUUCCCUUAAAGAAAAUCGAAGUCAAAUAAUAAUGAAAAAGGAGUGAAGCAAAGGCUGUACCGAGGAGUGCUGCUGCUGCAGCCCCACACCCCACACGCAGAGCGCGGUGCCCCUCAUGGAGGUUUCCUUCCCCAAACCUUUGCUUUCGGUGCGUUUCAGUGCCGCGUCCCACAGGACACAACCGGAACCCACACCGAAUUCGGCUUACAAACAGAGGAACGCCCCCCAGGAAACCCCUCCUGCAGGAUUUCAGAAGCACGGCUUGGAGGUGGUCAGGACCGGCUCCUGUCAGCUAUGGAAAUAAGCCCAGCUUUGCCCAAGCAGGGUGCGCAAGCGUGCACACGGAGGACAACAAAGAACCCCAAGCUUUCGGCCUGCGCUGUGGGAGUGGCUCUGCUCUGCAUCCCCUCUUUCUUCCGCGGUUGAAGACAGAGCUCCCACACCAGCACCUGCCGCUGCUCCGCCACGCCACAACCUGGACAGCUUCGGGAUGCAGACCCUUCCCCUUUAUAAAGCUACUUGGGGGCUGUUUGCGUGCUACACUGCAGUAAGCGUAACCCGCUCCCCUCCCUGCUUCGUUCUUCGGGAACGCAUUUUAACUUUGCUGGUCCAAAAGCAGAUGUUGCAAAUUAACAGAAGGAACCUAUGCAUACAAAAGUCUGAUUUGAAAGAUGAUCCGAACAAAACAACCCCUGACCCAUCCUAAUGCUUCGUCAAGCUGCAUUUUGAACCUGCCUCACACCCCUCCCGCCCCACAAGCAGUACCUGUUUUAUGUCUGCACAGUGCAGCAAACAUACGAGACUCACUAACAUUUCAGCUUUUUAUUCCCUGUUAGUGUAACAAAAAGAAAAAAUAAACGAGACAUUCAAGAACAGAAGAGAGAUUGUUCAAGUACCAAAUGAGGGGCUUUUCCAACCCGAAGCUGUGACACUCCUGCAGCAGUUCUGCACUCAGUGUGGGCUCGGGGCCGCGCAGCCCUCGCUCCCUGUCCUCCCCAGAGCUGCACCAAAGUGCCACCCUGCAUUUCCACAGUCCCCAUUACAGUUGCCUGGCUUUGCAAAGGACAAACUUUGGUUUUUGCCCUGCUACGACUUGGAUUCGGACACGAUGAAGUACAAGCCCUUCUCUUGGACUUGGCUUUCUGUUGUGGGACUCUUGCUUACACGAGUGUCAGCGAGAAAAGAAUCAGGCCCGUCACAUUAAAUGGAAAACUUCUUGAUGUUCUGCCACAUCAAGAGAGACGAGUGUGGAAAGAGCAGUUUGUUUUUGGCAUGAGACAGAGGGCUGGACUGGAUCUACACUCCAGAUUGCAACUACCCAGCGGUGCAAAGCAGCUGAGAAUUAUAACAACACCCAACACAAUACGAGCCCUGAAAUGUGGAACGUCCCAGUCGGGGGGUGGGCAUAGGCUGCUCCUGCUCCACACACCCUGAGAUGUCCCUCUGCCCCUGGGUUGGUUACUUCCAUUCUAAGAUUACUCACAACCAGUACAGAAAUGAGUGGGAAAAGAUCGUAACUUACUAACUUCAAAAACAUGGCACUCUCGGCUGACGUAACGGGGCCAAUGGCAACUGUGGAAGUCGGCCUGAUUUCCCAUCCAUCCAAAUACAAAAUACUGAAUCACCCCUGAUCCCUGUAAAUAUACUUCAAAACAGAUUAGAAGAAACUGUGCAUAUCAGAGUUUCAACAUUCCCAC
ensembl:lncRNA